rnacentral:rRNA from 1 species
CUUAGCCUUAAACCUAGAUAUUUCACAUACAAAAAUAUCCGCCAGAGAACUACGAGCAUAGACGCUUAAAACUCUAAGGACUUGGCGGUGCCUCAAACCCCCCUAGAGGAGCCUGUUCUAUAAUCGAUAAUCCACGAUCUACCUCACCAUCUCUUGCCAAUUCCGCCUAUAUACCACCGUCACCAGCUUACCCUAUGAAGGAUACAAAAGUAAGCAAAAUAGCCUAAAAAGCUAACAAGUCAGGUCAAGGUGUAGCUAAUUGAGAUGGAAGAAAUGGGCUACAUUUUCUACAUUAGAAAUAAUUCACGGAAAGGAACCAUGAAAUAGGUCCCAUAAGUCGGAUUUAGCAGUAAACUGGGAAUAGAGAGCCCAAUUUAAACCGGUCCUGAGGUACGC